AUCCCAUGGUGAGGGCAUUUACGAAGUAAAUCCUUGAAUCUUUACCACACCUUGUAUAGGGACUCGUCAUCCAAUUAUUGAAAAGUACUGAUCUUAUUUCGCAACUU
rnacentral:snoRNA from 1 species